UUAACUUAACCUAACAUUUUUUUCUUUCUUCUUCACACUUUAUUAGCCGCCUACACUCUUACUUUCUCUCAUUUUCUCAUCUUUCCCAUUUGAGCACCUAGUUUCCUCCGAUGACUUCCUCCGAUGACAAUAACCACCGUAGAUAAGGACGUUGCUGCUACUUCCCUUCAAAGUCCUCUUUCAUCAAAAUCGUUGUUGCUGAGUCGAAGCUUUGGGAGGAUGGAGAUCCGUCUCUCUCACGUUGAACUCGACUCCUCUCUCCCGGUGAACUGGACUCACUAUCUCAGCAUCUCUCUUAGGUAUUCUUCGAUUGGAGUGUUAAGUGGUGGAUUUGAGCAGUUGUUGGCAAAUUGAAAUGGCUGGUGACAGAUUGUAGGCUGUAACAGUUGGUGAUGAAUUGAGCGGCUUUACAAAUUUGCUUGUUGAGGUAUUCCAAUGAUUUUCCCUAAUGAAAAUCUCCAAAUUUGAAGGAUUAGUGAUGAGAUGUCUUGUUUGAGGUAGUUAUUCUGACAUGAGUAUAGCUAUUUGUUUGUUAGUUUGUAUUUUGAGUUUAAUUUUGGGAGAUUUAAGUGUGGUUUAGAGAUUUCACCUUAAAUUUUCCUUCGACAAAAUUUGUAAGCAGCUAGAAUUAUUAUAAGCCUUCUGCUAUAAUUAUUAUUAUUAUUACAGUGUAUAGUUUGUGAUUCAUUGAGUAAAAAAAUGUUGAAUUUAUUUUCUCAGGAAAAUGAGGGUAAGAACAUAGGGGAGUGAAGGUAGAGAAUGUAAUGGAGGCAAUUUAAAGAGGGUGCUGAGGCUGAGAGGUUUUUGUUGGACCACAUAGAGACUUAGAGCAGGCCGAAGACUGUAAUGGAUUACAUUGUUGUCUACACAUCUUUGCUUUCUUUACUAUCUUUUUCCUCAUGGGGUGAAUUUAGUUGAAUUGGAGAUUGUAAGAGUAUUAGGUGAUCUGUACAUGUUUUACUAGAGCAGCUGAAGGAAUUCUCAUUUCAGUUGGGAGUUAAAAAAAAAACAGAAGUACAUAGGCAAAAUGAGAAGGAACACAGGUGGAGAGGUCAUCAAAAGCUUGUUAAACUGGGUUUGUGACCUUUUAUUUUUAUAUUUUAAGGGGUAGAAGUCCAACAAAGAUGACAAUUAAUGAACAGGUGGCAAUUACAUUGAGAGAUGGCUUGGCUUGGCAUGUGAAAACAGAGUAAGAUGAAGUGGUGUUAGUACCGUGAGAGCAGUAGUAUUAGUAGGGUAAGAGUGGUGUGUGUGUGUGUGCAUGGAGUACAGGUUACUGUCGCACUGAAUUAAGCUAUAUCUAUCUACAACUACAGGCUAUGGAUGGGGGGUUUCUCUCUCUCUUUUCCAUGUAGCAAAACAAGACAAUCAAAGUUAAAGAUCGAUUUUCUUGUUUUCUUAUGUACAGAACACAGCCACGUUUACUGACUCACCUUCAAUGGCAUGUAGUACCCUUUAUCUCUCUUCCUUUUUACUGCUGCAUCAUUUACAGUCUUUUCCAAAAGCCUUUCUUUACAUAUAUCGCUGCAGAGGGUGGCCAUGCGGCCUGCUUGGUGGGUUCAGACUUUUAAAGACCCUAUAAAAAUGCUCUCUCUCUCUUCUGUCAAACCCCCUUAGCCACUAGCAAUAUUAGAACUAUAUAUAUAGUAGUACUAGUACUAGUGCUCUUGAGAAAUGUUUGUACUUGAUGAUUGGAAACUGUGAUGAUCAUCAAAUCGACAUUCUUAUUAUUAUUAUUGUUGUUGUUUUUGUUAUAUAUGCUAAACAUUAUUUAAGGCAUUAAUUUAUUGGUCAAUCGUAUCAUCAUUUCUGUGCCUUGUUGAAUUUUGAUCUUAUCACGUUUUGAAAUUCCUACUCUCACCAUUUACAACAGGGACGACUCUCAUCUCGACCACACACGUACACGAUUGAAAAUGAAUACGGAAAUUUUGAAGGGAAGUUUGGGCAGAAAGGAAAGGACUAUGUUAAGUGGGCAGCAAAGAUGGCUUUAAGCCUUGGUGCUGCGGUUCCAUGGGUGAUGUGCAGGCAAACUGAUGCUCUGGAUGUGCAGGCAAACUGGUGCUGGGGUUCCAUGGUUGUAAGAAUGUAUAGGGACAGAUAGAUGCAUGCAAUGGAUACUACUGUGAUGGUUAUAGGCCAAAUUCCUAUAACAAACCCACGCAGGGUGGACUGAUUUAACUCCAGAUGCUGAUCCAUCGAUAUUAACAAUUUGAUGGCACCGCCUCCACCACCUCCAACAGACCAAGCUUUAGAUGCAAAUUUAAGAGAGUCGCCAUCUAUUUCAGUUCGGGAGUCACAAGAUGAUUCUUAGUUUAUUUACAUUAAUUUACUAAGGAACGAACUUUAUGAUUUUUUUUUUUAUUUUGGUAGGGGUAACCUUAAAAUGAUAACUUUAUGACUUAUUUUAGUAUUGAACAUUAUAAAGAAUUUUAGCAUUAAACAUUUUAUUAUUGAA